rnacentral:sRNA from 1 species
AUAUCUCUCUGUACGGGAAGGAUGAGAAGCUUCGACUAAGGUUCGAUUCGAGCGUCAGCGAGAAAGCGUUGCCGCAGGCAACGACCCGAAGGGCGAAGCGCGCAGCGCUGAGUCAUCCUGGCCCCUGAACCA